rnacentral:rRNA from 1 species
AUUGAACGCUGGCGGCAGGCCUAACACAUGCAAGUCGAGCGCGCGGCGGACGGGUGAGUAAUGUCUGGGAAACUGCCCGAUGGAGGGGGAUAAAUACUGGAAACGGUAGCUAAAACAGCAUACCAUCAGAUGUGCCCAGAUGGGAUUAGCUGGUAGGUGGGGUAACGGCUCACCUAGGCGACGAUCCCUAGCUGGUCUGAGAGGAUGACCAGCCACCCAGGAACUGAUACACGGUCCAGACUCCUACGGGAGGCAGCAGUGGGGAAUGUUGCGCAAUGGGCGCGAGCCUGAUGCAGCCAUGCCGCGUGUGUGAAGAAGGCCUUCGGGUUGUAAAGCACUUUCAGCAGGGAGGCGUUACCCGCAGAAGAAGCACCGGCUAACUCCGUGCCAGCAGCCGCGGUAAUUC